rnacentral:rRNA from 1 species
UGGGGAAUAUUGCACAAUGGGCGAAAGCCUGAUGCAGCAACGCCGCGUGAGUGAUGAAGGCCUUCGGCUUGUAAAGCUCUGUCUUCUGGGACGAUAAUGACGGUACCAGAGGAGGAAGCCACGGCUAACUACGUGCCAGCAGCCGCGGUAAUACGUAGGUGGCAAGCGUUGUCCGGAUUUACUGGGCGUAAAGGAUGCGUAGGCGGAUACUUAAGUCAGAUGUGAAAAUCCCGGGCUUAACUUGGGAACUGCAUUUGAAACUGGGUAUCUAGAGUGCGGGAGAGGAAAGUGGAAUUCCUAGUGUAGCGGUGAAAUGCGUAGAGAUUAGGAAGAACACCAGUGGCGAAGGCGACUUUCUGGACCGUAACUGACGCUGAGGCAUGAAAGCGUGGGGAGCAAA